rnacentral:ncRNA from 1 species
GGAUCGGCGAUGACGGGGAGAGUAGGCGGUGGAUCCUCUCCAGAGAGAAGGCCCCCGGCUGAAAGGUCUUCAGGUGCAAGCCGCUGAACGUCACCCCGGAGCCGUCCGCCUGAAGUGAAGUAGGGCGGUCCGUCCUCCCGCGUUAAGGGAUUGAGUGUAUCGACUCCGGAGGCUUGUCAGCGAAGGGAGUUCGGUGAAUAAAGGUGGUACCGCGGAACCUUCCGUCCUUUGG